CCCUUAGAUGUCCUGGGCCGCACGCGCGCUAUACUGACACAUUCAACAAGUUCUAUCCUGGCCCGGAAGGGUUUCGGGUAAUCUUGAUAGUAUGUGUCGUGCUAGGGAUCGAUCUUUGGAAUUAUAGAUCUUGAACGAAGAAUUCCUAGUAAGUGCAAGUCAUCAGCUUGUACUGAUUACGUCCCUGCCCUUUGUACACACCGCCCGUCGCUCCUACCGAUUUCGAGUGAUCCGGUGAACCUUCUGGACUGCGGUAGCAUCAAGCUAUUGCGGGAAGUUAAGUAAACCACGUCACUUAGAGGAAGGAGAAGUCGUAACA
rnacentral:rRNA from 1 species